rnacentral:sRNA from 1 species
UGACGGAGUCUCCCGUGCCUACAGUGAC